rnacentral:rRNA from 1 species
UCCUCCUUUUUCUAGCGUUGUUCGGAUUUACUGGGCGUAAAGCGCACGUAGGCGGAUAUUUAAGUCAGAGGUGAAAUCCCAGGGCUCAACCCUGGAACUGCCUUUGAUACUGGAUAUCUCGAGUAUGGAAGAGGUGAGUGGAAUUCCGAGUGUAGAGGUAAAAUUCGUAGAUAUUCGGAGGAACACCAGUGGCGAAGGCGGCUCACUGGUCCAUUACUGACGCUGAGGUGCGAAAGCGUGGGGAGCAAACA